rnacentral:lncRNA from 1 species
GCCGGCCGGGUUUUGCUUCAGUGAACGUGUCAGGUGAGGCAGGCAGCGGGUACUGGUGAUACACCUCAGCCAGCCCCCACUCCAAACUGCUGUCAGGUGCCACCAGGGCCACGCCCCCAUGCCCCAAGUACGGUGUCAGCCACGGGCACACUCACGCCUCCCCACCCACCCGUACGGGAAGUGUUUUGGAACUGCAUAGCCA